rnacentral:tRNA from 1 species
CGGGUUGUGGCGCAGCUUGGCAGUGCUUUUUGGCGGCACUCCGUGCCGGCGGCACCUCGUUCGGGACGAGGGGGUCGCAGGUUCAAAUCCUGUCAACUCGA